GUAAGGAUCACCAGUCCACUCCAAUCCAGAACUGGCAAGCCCACUGACUGAACACUCAAGGGACAUAUCCUGCUCUGUGAAUAACUCAUUAACAAGUUUUUGGAGCCUAUAUAAUGUCUUUUUACGCAGAUCCAUUUAAAACAUCUAGUGCCCUUGCAAUGGACUUCAAGGAGCUGGGAGGCGAGGACAACUGCGAAGGAGAUACAGAGGGAAACGCAGAGGAUUUGAACAAUGUGAAAGUACUUACCGAAAAACUAAAGUUACAAACCCGCAGACCGUCCUACUUUGAAUGGCAGGAGCGCUUGCAGAGCCGACCGUGGAAGGAGAACCCAAAUGGUUUAGAUAAUAGUCAAGAGACUGCAGAGAAAUAUGUGUUUUUGCCUGAAAUUAUGCGGGAUGAGAACUCAGAUCUAACCAUCCGCAACAUCUGUGGCUUCGAUACCAUUGAUGAUGCGUUGGAUUUUCUUAGAAAGGAGCUGAGGGAGAUGCGGUUCCAGGAUAACCGUCUAGCGCGCCAGCUGAUCCGCCUGCGUGUGGAGAUCCACCGGCUGAAGGUGGAGCAGGUGUGUCACCGCCACAAGGAGAUGCUGGACGACGCCACCUACGAGCUGGAGGAGUGUGGCGAGGAGUCUGACCUGCUCUGUGACAUCCCCAUGAAGGCUGCCUUCGCCCUCUCCACCCCCCUCAAACACCUUGGCCUCACCAAGAUGAACAUCAACUCCCGACGCUUCUCCCUCUGUUAAAACAUAUACCACCCUGCGAGGCUUGACUUACUGUAUUAACGCCUCUAUCUAAUCUAUGCAGGGUAAUCAGGGGUUUUCCACUGCACAGGUUUCUGUUAUGACAUGAGAGGGAAGAAGAAUGGCUGGCAGAGCAGGCAGACUGUAAUUAGCCAAGUGGGAGGAAAUGGAAAUGACUCCUCUGCUCCGUGCCUAGCCCUGACGUGAGAGAGACACAGGCCUCCAUAGUAGAGCCCUGUAGGCGCACGGCAUACACCCAUAGCAAAGAUGCACCUUUCCAACGCACCUCAGGGAAGGUGCGGACUGGUAGGUCAGAGUAGAUAGACAGGGAAGAUGGUGAUGAGUUGUGGCUCUGGAACGGAUAUGGUUUGAGUUUGGAUUGUCAUGGUGUCCGCUCAAUUGCACUGUAUUCAGAUAAUUAGUUAUGAUGACCCACUGACAUAUAGAAUAGGCCUGACUGCCAUGGUGGUACCGUAACUAGAGAUGUCUCUUGAGCGUUGCACAGGGGAAUUGUCUUUCUUCAGACAAAGAAAAAAUGGUCACAGCGCUAACACUCAUUAACACGAGUCCCAUACUUUAAUCACAACCCAGGAGGAAGUAUGCAUCUCUUCAUACAGACACCUUAACAUUAGUCACACCACCAGGGACAUUUGACAGCCUAGUGGGAAGCAUUUCUCUCCCCUCUGCAUUGGCAGAGUCCCAGUCCACACUCCUCAGGAAGCUGUAGGUCACAUUCCAGCAUUCUGUCACCUCUUCUUCUGAGACCAGAAAUAGCAAGGAUCUCCAUUGGGUCAUGGCUUCAGUGAUAGGACAUUAUUCCAGGCGAUGCCUUAUGUAGUACUCCAUGCUUUUUAUUUUCCUUUAGAUGAUCCAGAUAUUGUAGACAGACCACAGCCCAAUGUGCUGUCAUUGUGUUUUACAGUAGAUUAUAGGCUUGGCCAACUGCAAUGUUGUCCAAGUAAAAAACUGUAUCAAAGUUUUUGAUGUAUUUAAAGAUAUUGUUCUCAGGAAGAAAGAGGAGAAACUGAAAGUAUUUUGGGGUGGGAAAUUUGAGGGAGUGAAUGUUGAACAGGAUUUGGUGGGUGUUACAAAAUGUUACAAAAUGUUUGCUGAAUAUACACAAAGCAAAAUGUAGAUUUGUAAGUGCCUGCUAAUGCAAGUUCCUGCUAAUGCAGGAAUAUCUCAAGGCCAUCCAUUAAUGUAUGAGGGAAAUGACUAGAGGCAGACUAGAGCAGUUUUCAAGAUGCUUGUUUUUCAAUGUAUUUGUUUAAAUGCACAAAAAAUUGCAACAAACUUGAAAAUACACUUGAGAAAAGAAAAUUGUUGUCUGUCUGUCCAUUAAGGUAGGCCGUCGUUGUAAAUAAGAAUUUGUUCUUAACUGACUUACCUAGUUAAAGGUAAAAAAAGUUAGAACAGGGUAAAUGACCUGAGUCAUUACGUGAGACCUCACUGAGUGCUCAGUCAGCUAUAACCUUUCACAUCCUGAAAUACCUUCAGUUUCCUCUUUCAACUACAGCAGGCAUUUGUCUCUUAAAAAUUACGCGGUGUAAGCUGAUCAGAAAACCUCCUAAGGCAGGGUUCCCCAACUGGUUGUUUUAUUUGCGCCCCCAAGUUUUCUGAGCCAUAAAAAAAUACAUUUUUUCCCAUUGUUGCACAUAAACUGUAAAAAAAACAGGAAAUCAGCUCCAAGUGAUUUUAAUUUGGGAAAUCUGUUCCCAAGUAUUUCCACCUAUAAUAGAGACACGUGAUCAUAUGCAAAGGUUUCAAAUUAUUACGUUUUAGUCAAAUAUUAUAUCUGUUUGUGCUUCUUGCAUUCAAUUUGCAGGCUACAAAUGAUUUGUAAUUAUGAUCCGGCCCCCCGACCUUCCUCUCAAGAAAAGAUCGGCCCGCGGCUGAAUCUAGUUGAUGAUCCCUGCCCUAAGGGGUACAGCAUAAAUUCAUGAAUUCAUAAAGAUGUCAAGAUGUCAUCAAUUAUUCUACAAAAUGGGUAGACAUGACAUACUAGUUUACACUGAGAUUACCUCAUGAAUGACAUGAGAGAGAGAUAACUAGGCCAAUUGGAAACAAUGUAAUUAAUUAUAGGAUAUACAGUGCAUUUGGAAAGUAUUCAGACCCCUUCCCUUUUUACACAUUUUUGUUACAUUACAGCCUUAUUCUAAAAUGGAUUAAAUAAAUAAAAAAUCCUCAUCAAUCUACACACAAUACCCAUAAUGACAAAGCAAAAAUAGGUUUUUAGAAUGUUUGCAAAUGUAUUAAAAAUAAAAAACAGAUACCUAAUUUACACAAGUAUUCAGGUCCAUUGAUCAUCAUUGAGGUGUUUUGAGAACUUGAUUGGAGUCCACCUGGGAUAAAUUCAAUUUAUUGGACAUUAUUUGGAAAGGCACAAACCUGUCUAUAGAAUGUCACACAGUUGAAGGUGCUUGUCAGGGCAAAAACCAAGCCAUGAGGUCGAGGAAAUUGUCCGUAGAGCUCCGAGACUGGAUUGUGUCGAGGCACAGAUCUGGGGAAGUUUAGCAAAACAUUUCUGAAGUAUUGAAGGUUCCCAAGAACACAGUGGCUUCCAUCAUGCUUAAAUGGAAGAAGUUUGGAACCACCAAGACUCUUCCCAGAGCUGACUGCCAGCAAAACUGAGCAAUCGGGGUAGAAGGGCCUUGAUCAUGGAGGUGACCAAGAACCCGAUGGUCACUCUGACAGAGCUCCAGUGUUCCUCUGUGGGGAUGGGAGAACCUUCCAGUAAGACAACCACCUUUGCAGCACUCCACCAAUCAGGCCUGUAUGGUAGAGUGGCCAGAAGGAAGCCACUCCUCAGUAAAAGGCACUUGACAGCCCGCUUGGAGUUAGCCAAAAGGCACCUAAAGGACUCUCAGACCAUUCUCUGGUCUGAUGAAAUGAAGAUGGAACUCUUUGGCCUGAAUACCAAGCGUAACAUCUGGAGAAAACCUGGCUAUAUGAUCACACCGGUAAUAGAUCCGUUGUUGUAUUACUUGUGAAGCACAGCUGAGUAAGCAUACAAAUAAUUCCCUUUUUAUUAUAUGACAGAACCACCCACCGAAAGAAGACCAAACAGCGGGGUAAGGAGCAGGAGAAGUAUUUGGAGUCGUGGACAUGGGAGGAGAUUUUAGACGGGAAAGGACCCUGGAGGCAGGCUGGAGAGUAUCGUCGACCGAAGGAGGAACUGGAGGCAGCGAAGGCAGAGCGGCGCUACUAUGAGGCGCUGUAUAAGCCAAGAGGCAAGUGCGAGAGGCACUCUGCCCAACACGGGGAGUUGGGCAGAGUCAGGGUGGAGUCCUGAGCCAACUCCCCGUGCUUACCGUGGGGAGCGGGUGACGAGGAGAGCGCCGAGCUAUGCGGAAAUGCGCAUGGUAUCGCCCACACGCACGCACAGUCCGGUGCGGUCAGUGUGGGCUCCGCAGCGUUGCCGGGCGAGAGUUGGCCGGCAGCCAGGGAGAAGUGCGCCGGCGCAGCGCAUCUGGCCACCAGUACGUCUCCUCGGUCCAGCUUACCCUGCGCCUGCUCUACGCACGGCAGCCCUCACUCUCCAGCACAGCCCAGUUCGCCCUGUGCCAGCGCUCCGCCCGUGCCGGGCUACAGUGACCAUUCAGCCAGGACGGGGUGUGCCAGCCCUGAGCUCCAGACCGCCGGUUCACCUCCACGGCCCAAUGUGCCCCGUGCCUGCGCUGCGCACCCAGUCUCCUGUAAGUCUCCCCAGUCCGGGGAGACCGGUCCCAGCUCCACGCAGGAGGCCUCCAGUGACGCUCCUCAGCCCGGAGCCUCCAGCGACGCUCCCCAGUCAGGAGCCUCCAGCGACGCUCCCCAGUCAGGAGCCUCCAGCGACGCUCCCCAGUCAGGAGCCUCCAGCGACGCUCCUCAGCCCGGAGCCUUCAGCGACGCUCCCCAGUCAGGAGCCUCUAGCGACGCCCCUCAGCCCGGGGCCUCCAGCGACGCCCCUCAGCCCGGGGCCUCCAGCGACGCCUCUCAGCCCGGGGCCUCCAGCGACGCCUCUCAGCCCGGGGCCUCCAGCGACGCCUCUCAGCCCGGGGCCUCCAGCGACGCCUCUCAGCCCGGGGCCUCCAGCGACGCCUCUCAGCCCGGGGCCUUCAGCGGUGGUCUGCAGCCAAGGGCCUUCAGCGGUGGUCUGCAGCCAAGGGCCUUCAGCGGUGGUCUGCAGCCAAGAGCCUUCAGCGGUGGUCUGCAGCCCAGAGUCUUCAGAACGGGAGCUACGCCCAGAGCCAGAGCCACCUCCGUAGUGGGAGGAUUGGCGAAGGGGGGGGUAGCACAGGAACCGUCAUUGGCGGUGGCCACCCUCCGUUCCCUCCCUUUAGGUUGUGUUUUUUUUGUUGUUUUUUUUGUUUUGAGGUGCAGUCGGGGUCUGCACAUUUGGGGGGGGGGGGUACUGUCACAUCCUGACCAGUAAAGGGGUCGUGGCAGGGGUGUUGUUUUUGUGUGUUUUGGGGUUGGUUUAUUUAGAGGGGAUUUGUUCUAGUUUUCAUUUUCUAUGUUCGUUUUCUAUGUGUGGCCGAGUAUGGUUUCCAAUCAGAGGCAGGUGUCUUUCGUUGUCUCUGAUUGGAAGCCAUACUUAGGCAUCCCUUUUUUCCUUUGGGUUUGUGGGUGGUUGUUUUCUGUAUAGCCUGUGCCUUACGGAACUGUUUGGUCGUUUGUUUAUUUUGUUUGAGUGUUCACUCUAAAUAAAGAAAGAAGAUGAGCACUAUACCCUCUGCGCCUUGAUCUGUCCCUUACGACGCUUAUGACAUGUUGACAGUACUGAGUAAGAACUUUAAACAUUAACUCACUCAUAAAAACAGCAUCUCUUUGUUGUAUUUGUUGACAGUCUCUCUUGUCAUAGUUUUAAACUAGGGCUGUCAAAGUUAACGCAUUAAUAACGCGUUUAAUGCUUACAUUUUUAAUGCUGUAAAAAAAAUCACGCCAUUAACACAUUUUCGUAGCUUGACCCCCUGAACCAUCCAUACAGUGGCGAUUUUAGCAUGCAAAUCUUGGUGGGGCAAACUGCAAAAAUAGUUUUAGAUGCCUUCCAGCAAAGCCACUACACAACACAACAUUAAACGAUACAUUAAUUGCACUAUAACGGUGACAAACGGUGCUCACAAACUGUUAGGGCCUUCUUUUUAGCCACUGCUACACCUGGUUAUCAUCAAACAGUUCAUUCAGCCUCAUUUACUGCCUUUAAAAAAACAUAGCUGAUAUGGCUGACUUGCUUAAACAAAUGUGGUUUCUACUGACAAUUGAGAUGUACAAACUAUGGCAUAUGGGGACGACGAGCGGAUAAGAGGCAAUCAGUCAGUUUGAUUAAGACAUUAAUGAGCAUGCUAGGACGGACGUAGUCAAUAUAACUAUUUGUUCAGCACUUUUGAAAUGUGCAGCGACAGAAUUCAGAACAUGGGCCAUUCUU
rnacentral:lncRNA from 1 species